ensembl:lncRNA
GCCCCCAGCACAAGAAAGACGCAGAGCUCUUGGACCGGGUCCAGAGGAGGGCCACUAAGAUGACCACAGGGCUUUCUUCUCCUCUGAAGAAAGGUUGAGGGAACUGGGCUUGUUCAGCUUGGAGAAGAGAAGGCUCCAGAGAGACCUCAUGGUGGCCUUCCAAUACUUGAAGGGAGCACAUAAACAGAAGGGGGAAUGACAUGGGUUGAUAGCGAUAGGACAAGGAGGAACGGUUUUCAAAUGAGACGGGGGAGGUUUGGGUUAGAUAUGAGGAGGAAGUUUUUCACUCAGAAGGGGGUGACGCACUGGAACAACUUGCCCAGAGAGGCUGUGGAUGCCCCAUCCCUGGAGGCAUUGAAGGCCAGGCUGGAUGUGGCUCUGCUGGUCUGGUCUGCUGGGCAGCCUGGUCCUCUUUUCUUGUGUGACUAGUGAUAGGACUAGAGGGAAUAGUUUCAAGCUGCACCAGGGAACAUUCAGGCUGGACGUUAGGAAAUAGUACUUCUCUGAAAGGGUGGUCAGGCACUGGAAUGGGCUGCCCAGAGAGGUGGUGGAGUCGCCGAGCCUCAUGGUGUUCAAAGAGCGUUUGGAUGUUGUGUUGAGGGACAUGGUUUAGCGAGAACCAUUGGUGACGGGGAAUGGUUGGACUGGAUGAUCCUGUGUGUCUUUUCCAACCUUAGCGAUUCUAUGAUUCCGUGAUCUUUGGGGUCCUUUUCAACGCAGGGCAUUCCAUGAUUCUGGGAUGAUUCCAUGAAAUACAGCCAUCGUAUGCACCCAGGGCCACGGGGUCUUGGGAGAGUUCCUGCGGCGUCUGAAGGCACGGACUCAGGUGUGAAUGAUCCAAAUUGUUUAUUGCAGGUUCAAAUAUCCCCAAGUUCUCUCUUUCCCACUUUCCCACCCCCCUUUCCAUGUCAAGAAAUCAUUGCACACAGUCGCCCCUGGUCGACUCCUUAAGCGUGCAUGCAGGCGCUUAUCCAUCGGUGUCACGAGUUGUUCGUAGCCACGCGCUCUUCCUCCAACCAGGGUUGUUAUCGUGUGGCGAUCGUGUGGCUCGCUUGACUCAUGUUUUUGUCUCCUGGAGGCAUCCUUAGUUCUCAGCAUUCCUUUCUCAUGCCGUUUAUCUAUCUUGUUCCGCAGCUUCUAGUGUGAAUGUUCUUUCUUGAAUCCAGCCCAGUCCCCACUGUCCCUCUACCUCUGCUUUUCUAGAGGGAGCUGGCACCCAGGAAGGAUGCGGAUGGGGUUUUGCAGGCUCAGGGGCAGCUCUGUCUGUCCCGGGCACCCCAUGCCCUGCUCAGCGUGGGUAGGGUGUUGGCGGCCUGCGGCGCGGGGCUGUGGUCCUUGGAGGCGGACUCCUGGGAGACUCUGGUCUGUUGCGUAUGGGUGGCAGCAAACCAGAUCGGCUGGUGGAGGGCUCCUCGGGCAGGCUGCACUCACGGUGAAACGGUGAUGCUGCCGUCUCCCGAGGUUCUGCCUGCGCUGGCCUGUCCUCCUUAGCCAUCUGCCUCUGCCUGAGUAGUUUGACAGAGUCACGUGGCAGUAACGGCGGCCGG